CAGCCGCCGCGGGAAUACGGAGGGGGCUAGCGUUGUUCGGAAUUACUGGGCGUAAAGCGCACGUAGGCGGCUUUGUAAGUUAGAGGUGAAAGCCCGGAGCUCAACUCCGGAAUUGCCUUUAAGACUGCAGAGCUAGCAGGUGAGAGAGGUGAGUGGAAUUCCGAGUGUAGAGGUGAAAUUCGUAGAUAUUCGGAAGAACACCAGUGGCGAAGGCGGCUCACUGGCUCAUACUGGACGCUGAGGUGCGAAAGCGUGGGGAGCAAACAGGAUUAGAUACCCCGGUAGUCCCUGUCUCUUAUAC
rnacentral:rRNA from 1 species